rnacentral:rRNA from 1 species
AGCGAACGUUUGCGGCGGGCUUAACACAUGCAAGUCGAACGGGCUGUUCCUUCGGGGGCAGUCAGUGGCGCACGGGUGCGUAACACGUAGGUAAUCAACCCUCUGGUUGGGGAUAACACUUCGAAAGGAGUGCUAAUACCCGGUAUGGCGCAGCGGUCUUCGGAUCGCGGCGAGAAAGACCCGCAAGGGUUGCCAGAGGACGAGCCUGCGGCCCAUCAGCUAGUUGGCGAGGUAACGACUCACCAAGGCGAAGACGGGUAGCUGGUCUGAGAGGAUGAUCAGCCACACUGGAACUGAGACACGGUCCAGACUCCUACGGGAGGCAGCAGUGGGGAAUAUUGCGCAAUGGGCGAAAGCCUGACGCAGCCACGCCGCGUGAGCGAUGAAGGCCU